AGUUGAUAUGGCUCAGAUUGAACGCUGGCGGCGUGCUUAACACAUGCAAGUCGCGCGUGAAAGGACUUCGGUCCGAGUAAAGCGGCGCACGGGUGAGUAACGCGUGGAUGAUCUACCCAUGAGUUAGGAAUAACGGCUGGAAACGGUCGCUAAUACCAAAUACGCUCCGAUUUCAACUUCGGGGGAAAGGUGGCCUCUGCUUGCAAGCUACUGCUCAUGGAUGAGUCCGCGUCCCAUUAGCUAGUUGGUGGGGUAACGGCCCACCAAGGCGACGAUGGGUAGCCGGUCUGAGAGGAUGACCGGCCACACUGGGACUGGAACACGGCCCAGACUCCUACGGGAGGCAGCAGUGGGGAAUAUUGCGCAAUGGGCGAAAGCCUGACGCAGCGACGCCGCGUGAGGGGAAUGAAGGUCCUCGGAUCGUAAACCUCUGUCAGGAGGGAAGAACCGCCACGGUGCUAAUCAGCCGUGGUCUGACGGUACCUCCAAAGGAAGCACCGGCUAACUCCGUGCCAGCCGCCGC
rnacentral:rRNA from 1 species